rnacentral:rRNA from 1 species
GAUGAACGCUGGCGGCGUGCCUAAUACAUGCAAGUCGAGCGAACGGACGAGAAGCUUGCUUCUCUGAUGUUAGCGGCGGACGGGUGAGUAACACGUGGAUAACCUACCUAUAAGACUGGGAUAACUUCGGGAAACCGGAGCUAAUACCGGAUGAUAUUUUGAACCGCAUGGUUCAAAAGUGAAAGACGGUCUUGCUGUCACUUAUAGAUGGAUCCGCGCUGCAUUAGCUAGUUGGUAAGGUAACGGCUUACCAAGGCAGCGAUGCAUAGCCGACCUGAGAGGGUGAUCGGCCACACUGGAACUGAGACACGGUCCAGACUCCUACGGGAGGCAGCAGUAGGGAAUCUUCCGCAAUGGGCGAAAGCCUGACGGAGCAACGCCGCGUGAGUGAUGAAGGUCUUCGGAUCGUAAAACUCUGUUAUUAGGGAAGAACAUAUGUGUAAGUAACUGUGCACAUCUUGACGGUACCUAUCAGAAAGCCACGGCUAACUACGUG